GACGAACGCUGGCGGCGUGCUUAACACAUGCAAGUCGAACGGAAAGGCCCUGCUUGCAGGGUACUCGAGUGGCGAACGGGUGAGUAACACGUGUGUGAUCUGCCCUGCACUUCGGGAUAAGCCUGGGAAACUGUGUCUAAUACCGGAUAGGAGCCAUUUUUAGUGUGAUGGUUGGAAAGUUUUUUCGGUGUAGGAUGAGCUCGCGGCCUAUCAGCUUGUUGGUGGGGUAAUGGCCUACCAAGGCGGCGACGGGUAGCCGGCCUGAGAGGGUGGACGGCCACAUUGGGACUGAGAUACGGCCCAGACUCCUACGGGAGGGAGCAGUGGGGAAUAUUGCACAAUGGGGGGAAGCCUGAUGCAGCGACGCCGCGUGGGGGAUGACGGCCUUCGGGUUGUAAACUCCUUUCGCUAGGGACGAAGCUUUUUGUGACGGUACCUAGAGAAGAAGCACCGGCUAACUACGUG
rnacentral:rRNA from 1 species